AGAAUCAACGCUGGCGGCGUGCCUAACACAUGCAAGUCGAACGCGAAAGUCCCGCAAGGGGCAAGUAGAGUGGCAAACGGGUGAGUAACACGUGGGUGACCUGCCUUCGAGCGGGGGAUAACGUCCCGAAAGGGACGCUAAUACCGCAUAACAUCCUGCCUUUGAAGAGGUGGAGAUCAAAGCUGGGGAUCGCAAGACCCGGCACUUGAAGAGGGGCCCGCGCCUGAUUAGCUAGUUGGUGGGUAAUGGCCUACCAAGGCAACGAUC
rnacentral:rRNA from 1 species